rnacentral:lncRNA from 1 species
UUUUUUUUUUUUUUUUUUUUACCAUUCCUAUUUUUUAUGCAGCCUCACUGGGCUCCUUACUGUGUUUGUAGAACAGAUCAAGCAUGCUCCUACUUCAGUGAGUCUAUACUUGCUGUUUCUUCCCUCUCUUGAAAAUCUUCCCCCUAAUCAUUCAUAUGACUUGUGUCUACACCAUAUUUAAUUUUCUGUUCAAGGUCAUUUCCUCCAACCACCCUAUCAAAAAAUGCUUUCCUUCUUUUUCUCUCUUUAUCCUACUGUACUUUUAUUUGGUGUAGGUAUUGUUUGAGUUAUAUUUCUAAUGCCCCACUUAUAUUAGCACUGUGGAACCUCCAUUAAGGUGUAUGUAUCAUUUUAUAUACAAUUUCUACUAUGUUCAGUUCUUCAACACAAAUUGGCAAAAUAAUUAAAAAUGAUUACACAUACUUUCUUGGAAAGAAAAAAAAUUGACAUAGAAAACUGACAUUUUAAGACAAUGUUACCAAUUUUUCUUAAAUCUCUCCAGUCCUAGGUGCUUUGAUUAGCAAAUACUCUCUUUUGACAUGCAUGCAGUCUUUUAAAGAACAUGGAUUCAAUCUGUGUUUUGUUUUUGAAAACUGAUAUGUAAUUGAGCCAGAGACAGUUGGAAACAAAAAACUUUCUAAAGAUCAGCGGGUAAGACUCCUAGUAAGAUCAAGAAAAUACUCAAGAAGAGAAGCGUUCCUUUGAAUCCUUGACUGGGUGUGUAGACAUCAUCAUGCCCUUUGGGAGCUACCUCUGGCCCACCUAGCAGCAAUUUCAAUCCUGGGCCCCAUCUCAUCUACCACACGGGAGGGGCCUAACCAAAUCUUAAGAAUAAUAAUAUACCAUCCAAGGGGAGCUGUAGCUUCAACUUUCCUCAACUCAUAGCAGUAACCCUACUGGGAUCCUAUGCUGAGAAAACUUUCCUCUGCAGAGACUGCUGGCCUAGGGGUCCUAGGGCUCUCUGACCUCUGGGCCCAGCCAAGACAAGCUGUGGUCUCAGUUUCAUUGUGUUGCUGAGACUUUACCUCUGGUGACAGACUUGCCAUUUAUUUUGAGAAAAACACUUUAUUUAUUUUGAGAAAAACACAAAAGCCUGGGGCCUUUUGGUCAGGCAAAUUGCAUAGAUGCAUCUAAUAUCUUAUUUUAAAAGAAAAAGGUUAAAAUUGUUAAGACGAGAGAGAGAGAGAGAGAGAGAGAGAAGAGAGAGAGAGAAUCUUUCAUUCCCCCACUCCCCACCCCCUGGAUUUAGUAAGUGGGACAGGUUUUGGUGCUGUAACCAGGGAAUCAAAGUAUCAAGGAACUUCUUCUGUCUUCCCACUCUGCUUUAGUCUUCAUCCUAAACCAAGCAAUUACCAUGAAGCAGCAAAGGUUGUCUUCAUGAUGUCUAGACAUUAUCUUAAUAUACUCAAAUAGAUGAUUGAAGGGAAAAAAAGAGCUUUGGGACAUACAUUCUCUAUAUUACUUAUUUCAUCUGUGUUCCCAAGAAAACAUGGGCCUCAAUUUUGGCUUUGGGAUCCAGGGACUGAAUUUAAGUUAAGUAUAUAAUGUUACUUAAAUUUAGUUUCUUAAUAAUGAAAAUUUUGGUGUUGGUAUGUUUUUGUUUUUGUUUUUGUUUUUCCACACUCUGAAUUGCUCAGAAAGUUUAGUUUAAUGAAUUAUCAUGGCUGUUUACUCCUGAUAUGGUUGUUGACUAUUGAUAGUUAAAAAAAAAUUAAAAACAUGACCUAUUAGGACUUAUAUAAUUAUGGGGUCAGCAGGAGCCCCACUUUUUGCCUGCCUCUGAUCUUAUUUGCUUUUUCUCUCUCCUACGUGCAUCACAGUAGAUAUUUAUCUAUCUAAGGCAAAAGAAUAUUUAAAUUAAUAGUAGCAAAAUCAUCUCUGGGGAAACAAUAAGAUAAAUGAUUUUGCAUGUGUGAUAGAACAAAAUAAGUGGUAGAGAGUGGAUUUGACCUUUAUUCCUCUGCAUAUGCAUGAUAAAAAGAGGAGAAAAGAGGUAAGUUUUCAUUGCAUGCUCUUCACAAAAAUAAAAUAAAUAAAUAAGUGGCUAACUCCUGUACAAUUUGUAUUGCCAUAGUUAAAAUAUAUUUAAUUAUAAUUUUCAUAAAACUAAUACAUAAUUCUGCAAUGUUGUAUGCUAAAUUUCUGAAGGUCCCAUGCUUAUAAGCACAAUUUAAAAUGUAAGCUGAAUGUCAAGUGGAGUUCCUGUUCUUCAUUUUAGUUUUAUGAAAUUGGAAUUUCAAUACAAUUUAACAGGUAUGUGAGAUGGGCCUCUGAAUGCAAUACUAACUUUCAUGAUUCUUAUCUCAUUUUAUACUUUUUGUCUAACUCAUCUUUGUGACAUAACAGUGAAGAAUGGGGAAAGGAUGUCAAAAUUUUUACACGUUUUUAUUGAAACACAGUGUAAUGAACAGAGAGAAGAAGAGGAUGGAAUAUAGUCACAAAAUAAUAAUUUAACCUCUAUGUCUGAAAAACAUCCAGUCAGCAUUAUAAAUGUUAGCUUACAAAGAACAAUCAAUAUUAUUUCUUUUUCAGGAAUGUUAAAUAUAAAUAUUUAACAUUAAUAAAUAAUAUUAAAUAUUAAAUAAAUAUUGGUUCUUAUUAUUGUUUCUUAUUCAGAAGCACUAUUUUAAAUGACUAGCUUACUCAUUCAACAGGUUAAACUAAAUGAACAGUAAUCUGAGAAGAAUAACAUUGCUUGUUUUUUUUACCAGACACUAUACUGAAUAAUUUUCGACAUUACUUUUUUUCAUACAUUAAUUUAUUUGUUUCCAUUUGUAAAAGGCCAGGAAACAAUUGCGAGACAGUUGUAACACAGAAGCUAAGCACAGGCUUCAAAUCCUGCCUCUUCUAUUUACUUGCUGUGUGACCUUGGGCAUAGUACUUAACCUUUCUAUGUAUCACUCUGUAAAAUGGCUGCUUAUCUUACAGAGCAUUUGUCAGAAUUAAUAAAUUAAUAUAUGUGACUUGCUUAAAAGCAUGCUUGGGAAAUAAUAGAGCUCAACAUAUGUCAAGAUAGUUACUAGGAAACGUGCUCAGCAUGGCAUUAAGAUGCAUAGUUGGGAGUUAAUAGAUUUGUCUGAGUCUAGAAUUCAAGGCUUUACUUCCCCUCCCGAAAAAGACUUUUUAUCUCAUAGCAUGUAUUUUAUCUAUAUGGGUAAAACAGCAGUAAAACUAGGUAGGAUUUAGAAAUUGUUUGUAAAAUUAUAUUUCUUUAAAUGAAAUUCAAGAAUAGCUUGCAGUUGAUAUAUAUGAUCAUAUAUGAUCACAUUUUUUUUUUCUCUCCAGGGGCAAGCUGCUGAAUAGACUAAAGGACUAGACUUAUAAUUACUACUAUAUAUUAUUAUUAAUUAGAACAUAAUGCAUUACUCUGAAUAGAGUAACUAUUCAGUGGAUUCUUCUAUUUCUAUCUAAAGCACACCUUUACUCAGACAAUGAUUCAAGAAAUGUCUUAACUGGUACCCUUUUCUAUUUAUGAUACUGGUUCAUUUUUGAAAUUGAUUUUGUAUGUCUCUUAAUAUUCAUGAGUGAGUAUAUAUCUGUAUUUAUUUAUUCUUGAUAUAAACGGACAGUUUCCAGGCUCACCUUCAUGGUAUGAUUUGGAGUAAGAGAGGAAUUCAAUGCUCAUAAUCAACAGUCAAAGAGUAUAUUCAUUUAGUGCCUCCCAAAGGCUCAGUAUUAGUGCUUGGUUGAUUUUAGAAACUGGGUUGAAAGGCAGGCAUUUAAGAAUUCAUCUAGAGGCACUUGAAGGGCUCAGUGGGUUAAGUGGUUAAGUGUCUGCCUUUGGCUCAGGUCAUGAUCUCAGGGUCCUGGGACCAGGCCCGGUGUGGGCUCUCUGUUCAGUGGGAAGUCUGCCCUGGCCCCCCACCCCCGCACCCCCACUGCCGUUCCUGUGUGUGCUCACUUUCUCUCAAAUAAAUAAAUACAAUCCUUUUUAAAAAAAGAUUUCAUCUAUACUCUUUUUGAAAUGUGAUCACUCUUCUAUUUGGAGUUUCUAGUUUCAGAGACUUCCUCAAGAGACCAAUUUGAUUUUAAUAUUGCGUACAAGGAUGGUACCACCAUUUAUUGGUCACUAUGUUAAACUCCUUGUUUGCAUUUUGUUACUUAAUCCCUUCACUGUAGUUUCUGCUGUUAUUGUUCACAACUUACAGAGAAGAAAAUGGAGGUCACAAAGAUGAUGUUACCUGUUCAGGGUCACACAGCCAUGAGUAUAUUGAAGAGCCAGAAUGAAAUUCAGGUUGUCUGAUUCCACCUACCCACAGCAGUCAGAACUCUGAUUGCUGCUUCCAUCCACUACCUUGAAUUGUCUUCUUUAUCCUGGGCUGAAAACUAAAAGUUUUAAAUUUUAUUUACCUGCAUUUAGCCUAGACUCAUUCCUUGCAGGGUUUGGACAACCCAGUCUUCAUUUUCCACUUAAAUAGAAAAAGUCUAUGGCUCUACAUAUCAUCAUAUUUUUGGCCAGUGUUAGUUUCUUAUACAUGUACUUUGAUGUGUGAUAAAUUAAUAUAUCUCCUGCAUAAAGUCAUGCACCCUCUUUCUAAAGGACUUGCCAUUUUAGAGGGGCAAAAGGCAGGCAGCCCGGGUGGCCCAGAGGUUUAGUGCUGCCUUCAGCCUGGGGCAUGAUCCUGGAGUCCUGGGAUCGAGUCCCACAUCGGGCUCCCUGCAUGGAGCCUGCUUCUCUGCCUGUGCCUGUGUCUUUGCCUCUCUCUCUCUCUGUGCCUCUUAUGAAUAAAUAAAAUAAAAUAUUUUUUUUAAAAAAAGGCAAUGAUUUGCCUAUUCCUUAGAAAACUGUUGCUAUCCAAAAUUAACAAACCCUUUCAAGAUGGCUAUUUGAUAUUUGCUAAAACAAUAUAAAAUUUCAUUUAACAUCUGUAGUUCAAAACCAUAAUGUAGCAUAUACAUAUAUUCUUUAUCUUUCAAUAAUUGUGGCUAGCAUGCAUAUAUUUCAGGCUAAAGUAAUAUGAGAAAUGUCAAAUAGAUCCAUAUCAAUCCUUUGGCAUAGAGAAAACUUUUUUUUAUUUUAUUUUUUUUUUUUUUAGAAAACUCCUUUUUAAAUGUGCUUAAACUUCUAAAGAGGAACUCCUUGUCAGCCAAGAUUACAUCAAUAAAACUUUCAAAGACAUAAUCUCUUUGGGAAAGAGCUCAUUUUUAAUCUUCAGUUGUGGUUCUGUUAACUCCCCCUGUUGAAAUAAAUUGAAGUGGUUACCACUUUUUUAUUGCCAAAAGGAAGUGGUUCUUAACCUUGGCUGUGUAUUUACAUUUCAUGGGGUAGAUUUAAAAAGUAAACUACUUUUGCCUGGACCCCAUGAGCAUAUGUAGUUCAUCAGAGGUGUAGUGGAGACAUAUCUCAUCCCAAGUGAUUCUCAUGUGCAGGUAGGGGUGAGAAGCAUGGGAAGAAGUCGAUGGGAUAGGAAAAGCCCCUUUUCUCCUCACUGGCACUAAAGUGCCACAGGAAUUUAUUCCCUUCUUGCUACUUUAUAUACCUUAAAACUACCUUUAAGAUUUUCCUCUAUCACAGAAUUCUUCCAGUAUCUUUCCAUUACAUUUGAAAAUACUGUAUAAUUUUAAGAUUAAGAAAGAAAUGCAGCAGGGCACCUGGGUGGCUUAGUGAUUGAAUAUCUGUCUUUGGCUCAGGUAGUGAUCCCAAGGGUCCUGGGAUGGAGUCCUACAUCAAGCUCCCCGCAGGGAAUCUGCUUCUCCCUCUGC